GCAAGGCAAUAUCAAGAAUGCAUACAUGCUUACAAACUCUAGCACCAAAAUAAACCAGCCAUGCACAAUUUGCAAAAUAAUAUUCAUAAAAAACUAGACAAAAAAUGUGACAUCAUGCAAAAAACCACACAAUUUUUGGAUCAUUAUUUAAUCACUUAUGAAUUUUUAAAGAUGGAAAAAAAAUGAAAAAACUACAUGUGAAGCAAUGUACAUGA
rnacentral:lncRNA from 1 species